rnacentral:rRNA from 1 species
GACGAACGCUGGCGGCAUGCCUAAUACAUGCAAGUAGAACGCUGAAGGAGGAGCUUGCUUCUCUGGAUGAGUUGCGAACGGGUGAGUAACGCGUAGGUAACCUGCCUGGUAGUGGGGGAUAACUAUUGGAAACGAUAGCUAAUACCGCAUAAUAGCAGUUGUUGCAUGAUAACUGUUUGAAAGGUGCAAUUGCACCGCUACCAGAUGGACCUGCGUUGUAUUAGCUAGUUGGUGGGGUAACGGCUCACCAAGGCGACGAUACAUAGCCGACCUGAGAGGGUGAUCGGCCACACUGGGACUGAGACACGGCCCAGACUCCUACGGGAGGCAGCAGUAGGGAAUCUUCGGCAAUGGACGGAAGUCUGACCGAGCAACGCCGCGUGAGUGAAGAAGGUUUUCGGAUCGUAAAGCUCUGUUGUAAGAGAAGAACGAGUGUGAGAGUGGAAAGUUCACACUGUGACGGUAUCUUACCAGAAAGGGACGGCUAACUACGU